rnacentral:rRNA from 1 species
AAUCCAUAGGUUAAUGAGGCGAACCGGGGGAACUGAAACAUCUAAGUACCCCGAGGAAAAGAAAUCAACCGAGAUUCCCCCAGUAGCGGCGAGCGAACGGGGAGGAGCCCAGAGCCUGAAUCAGCAUGUGUGUUAGUGGAAGCGUCUGGAAAGGCGCGCGAUACAGGGUGACAGCCCCGUACACAAAAGCGCAUGUGCUGUGAGCUCGAUGAGUAGGGCGGGACACGUGGUAUCCUGUCUGAAUAUGGGGGGACCAUCCUCCAAGGCUAAAUACUCCUGACUGACCGAUAGUGAACCAGUACCGUGAGGGAAAGGCGAAAAGAACCCCGGCGAGGGGAGUGAAAAAGAACCUGAAACCGUGUACGUACAAGCAGUGGGAGCACAGGUUUACCUGUGUGACUGCGUACCUUUUGUAUAAUGGGUCAGCGACUUAUAUUCUGUAGCAAGGUUAACCGUAUAGGGGAGCCGUAGGGAAACCGAGUCUUAACCGGGCGUUAAGUUGCAGGGUAUAGACCCGAAACCCGGUGAUCUAGCCAUGGGCAGGUUGAAGGUUGGGUAACACUAACUGGAGGACCGAACCGACUAAUGUUGAAAAAUUAGCGGAUGACCUGUGGCUGGGGGUGAAAGGCCAAUCAAACCGGGAGAUAGCUGGUUCUCCCCGAAAGCUAUUUAGGUAGCGCCUCGUGAAUUCAUCUCCGGGGGUAGAGCACUGUUUCGGCUAGGGGGCCAUCCCGGCUUACCAACCCGAUGCAAACUGCGAAUACCGGAGAAUGUUAUCACGGGAGACACACGGCGGGUGCUAACGUCCGUCGUGAAGAGGGAAACAACCCAGACCGCCAGCUAAGGUCCCAAAGUCAUGGUUAAGUGGGAAACGAUGUGGGAAGGCACAGACAGCCAGGAUGUUGGCUUAGAAGCAGCCAUCAUUUAAAGAAAGCGUAAUAGCUCACUGGUCGAGUCGGCCUGCGCGGAAGAUGUAACGGGGCUAAACCAUG